GACGAAGGAUGCAAGCGUUAUCCGGAUUCAUUGGGUUUAAAGGGAGCGUAGGUGGCCUUAUAAGUCAGUGGUGAAAUCUCUCGGCUUAACCGAGAAAUUGCCAUUGAUACUGUAGGGCUUGAGUACAGACGAGGUUGGCGGAAUUGAUUGUGUAGCGGUGAAAUGCAUAGAUACAAUCAAGAACUCCGAUUGCGUAGGCAGCUAACUAGGCUGUAACUGACGCUGAGGCACGAAAGCGUGGGGAGCGAACAGG
rnacentral:rRNA from 1 species